GACGAACGCUGGCGGCGUGCUUAACACAUGCAAGUCGAACGGAAAGGCCCUGCUUUUGUGGGGUGCUCGAGUGGCGAACGGGUGAGUAACACGUGAGUAACCUGCCCUUGACUUUGGGAUAACUUCAGGAAACUGGGGCUAAUACCGGAUAGGAGCUCCUGCUGCAUGGUGGGGGUUGGAAAGUUUCGGCGGUUGGGGAUGGACUCGCGGCUUAUCAGCUUGUUGGUGGGGUAGUGGCUUACCAAGGCUUUGACGGGUAGCCGGCCUGCGAGGGUGACCGGCCACAUUGGGACUGAGAUACGGCCCAGACGCCUACGGGAGGCAGCAGUGGGGAAUAUUGCACAAUGGGCGGAAGCCUGAUGCAGCAACGCCGCGUGCGGGAUGACGGCCUUCGGGUUGUAAACCGCUUUCGCCUGUGACGAAGCGUGAGUGACGGUAAUGGGUAAAGAAGCACCGGCUAACUACGUG
rnacentral:rRNA from 1 species